GGAAGUAAAAGUCGUAACAAGAUUUCCGUAGGUGAACCUGCGGAAGGAUCAUUAUUGUAUAACCGAGGUGCGAGGGCUGUCGCUGACCCGAAAGGUCGUGCACGCCCGAGUGCCCUCACACACAUCCAUCUCACCCCUAUGUGCACCACCGUGUGGGUCCCCCUUUGGCUUGUUCGGAGGAGGGCUUACGUUUUCACACAAACUUUGUAUGCAGUGUAGAAUGUAUUUUUUGUUUUUGCGAUCACGCAAUCAAUACAACUUUCAACAACGGAUCUCUUGGCUCUC
rnacentral:misc_RNA from 1 species